GAUGAAGAACGCAGUGAAAUGCGAUACGUAAUGUGAAUUGCAGAAUUCAGUGAAUCAUCGAAUCUUUGAACGCAUAUUGCGCUCUUUGGUAUUCCGAAGAGCAUGCUUGUUUGAGUAUCAGUAAACACCUCAAAAGAUUUUCAUUUUUGAAAUGAUUUUGGACUUGAGCAAUCCCAACACCAGUCUUCACGGAUCGGCGGAGGGUUGCUUGAAAUGCAGGUGCAGCUGGACAUUCUCCUGAGCUAAAAGCAUAUCUAUUUAGUCCCGUCAAACGGAUUAUUACUUUUGCUGCAGCUAACAUAAAGGGAGUUUGACCAUUUUGGCUGACUGAUGCAGGAUUUCACAAGGGUCGGUAAAACGAUUUUUGUAAAACUCGAUCUCAAAUCAAGUAAGACUACCCGCUGAACUUAAGCAUAUCAAUAAGCGGAGGA
rnacentral:misc_RNA from 1 species